CAGUCGUACCGGCGGGUAAUCAGCCUUUCGGGUAUGAUUCUGUGGAGUGUGGGGAGCUAAACACCCUCAUGCCUGCAUAUUCGUGCUCUUGGGGUGUACUUAUUCGUGAGGUAAGUUAACACCAAUUUUGGUCGUCAUAAAAUGACUGGAGGAAUGUAGCUUUGAUCUCGUAUCGAAGUGUUAUAGCCUUUGGUAGAUGUGCUGAUUGGGAUU
rnacentral:rRNA from 1 species